rnacentral:rRNA from 1 species
UACGUAGGGACCAAGCGUUGUUCGGAUUUACUGGGCGUAAAGGGCGCGUAGGCGGCCUGACAAGUCACUUGUGAAAUCUCUGGGCUUAACCCAGAACGGCCAAGUGAUACUGUCGCGCUAGAGUGCGGAAGGGGCAAUCGGAAUUCUCGGUGUAGCGGUGAAAUGCGUAGAUAUCGAGAGGAACACCUGAGGUGAAGACGGGUUGCUGGGCCGACACUGACGCGGAGUGCGCGAAAGCCAGGGGAGCAAACGGG